GACGAACGCUGGCGGCGUGCUUAACACAUGCAAGUCGAACGGAAAGGCCCUGCUUUUGUGGGGUGCUCGAGUGGCGAACGGGUAAUAAACAGUUAAUUACCCUCCCCUUGACUUUGGGAAACCUUAAGGAACUGGGGCUAAUUCCGGGUUGGGAGCCCCUGCUGCUGGGGGGGGGUGGGAAGGUUUCGGCGGUUGGGGAUGGACUCGCGGCUUAUCAGCUUGUUGGUGGGGUAGUGGCUUACCAAGGCUUUGACGGGUAGCCGGCCUGAGAGGGUGACCGGCCACAUUGGGACUGAGAUACGGCCCAGACUCCUACGGGAGGCAGCAGUGGGGAAUAUUGCACAAUGGGCGGAAGCCUGAUGCAGCAACGCCGCGUGCGGGAUGACGGCCUUCGGGUUGUAAACCGCUUUCGCCUGUGACGAAGCGUGAGUGACGGUAAUGGGUAAAGAAGCACCGGCUAACUACGUG
rnacentral:rRNA from 1 species